GUCUCUUCAGAGACAUCCAAUAAAGUUGGAACUAUAAAAGAGAAGAUUAGCAUGGCCCCUGCACAAUGAUGACACACACUGAUUGAGAAAUUGUCCUAAUUUUU